AGAGCUCUGCCUCCUACGUGAGGAGAAUCCACCUUAUGCCUGGACCCCUUGUUUUGUGAGAAGGAACAAGGCCAACAACCAAGAUGAAGAAUUGUUGAAAGUUUGAGGAAGAUGAACCAGUCAUCUAAGAGUGUGGAGGGUGAGAGUGUGAGGACAGGAUAGUGUGAUUGCUGACCGGAAUGGGGAGCUCACUUGAGGUGUGUAGUCAUGAACAGGUGACUCGGUGGCUGUGUGCUUCUCUGUAGCCAUAUUCUGGUAUAAGGGGGGCACAAUCAGGGGAAGCUGGAGUUGGAUUUAAUCUUCAUUGUAAUAUAAUAAAAUCAAAAGAAGAAUGAACGUGAUUGACCUUAUAAUUCAACCAUCUAUAAAAGUAAGUAAACACAUGAAGAAGGAAUAGACAAUGAAAAGGUGGUGGGAAUACCUCAGUGGGGCAAAUGUUGGUGGUGGAAUACCAAAGGCAGUGAGAUGGAAAGAGAAGAUGCAGUGGUCAGAGAGCAAGAUGCUUGAGGUUCAGACUACAGCAAGAUUGCUGUUACUGGCAAUGACGAUGUGACUGAUGUAAAGUGGAGAACACCAUCACUGGGGCAAUGUAUCAAGGAACUGAGACGCCAGUGUACUAGAAAGACCAUUAAUGUGGAUAUUGAAUUCCUGAGAGUUAUGACAAGAGGAGUACUGGAGGAAAUGACAGUGAGCCACCAGCUAAAGCCCUUAAGAAAUUAAGGGAGUGAUCCAGGAAACACUAAGAACUGCGAUGAUGAAACUGAUAGGAUUAUUAAUGAGAUUUACAAGUAGGGGUUUGCAGGCUCUCCUAAAAGAAAGAAGAUGCCAACUGAUCUUGAUUAUUUUUUAGGGUAUUUUUUUCUUUUCCAAUGUCUUUUGAAAAUAAAGUCUGAUUUUAUGAAAAUUUCAAAGCCUCUAUUCCAUCAGAAAGCUGGAAAUAAACUCAGCUUUCUGCUGUAA